rnacentral:rRNA from 1 species
GACGAACGCUGGCGGCGUGCUUAACACAUGCAAGUCGAACGGAAAGGCCCUGCUUUUGUGGGGUGCUCGAGUGGCGAACGGGUGAGUAACACGUGAGUAACCUGCCCUUGACUUUGGGAUAACUUCAGGAAACUGGGGCUAAUACCGGAUAGGAGCUCCUGCUGCAUGGUGGGGGUUGGAAAGUUUCGGCGGUUGGGGAUGGACUCGCGGCUUAUCAGCUUGUUGGUGGGGUAGUGGCUUACCAAGGCUUUGACGGGUAGCCGGCCUGAGAGGGUGACCGGCAACAUUGGGACUGAGAUACGGCCCAGACUCCUACGGGAGGCAGCAGUGGGGAAUAUUGCACAAUGGGCGGAAGCCUGAUGCAGCAACGCCGCGUGCGGGAUGACGGCCUUCAGGUUGUAAACCGCUUUCGCCUGUGACGAAGCGUGAGUGACGGUAAUGGGUAAAGAAGCACCGGCUAACUACGUG